GCGGGGCACACCAGAAAUGGGUUUCACACAUUGUACCCAUGUGGGGAAUCGAACCUGGGUCUUCAGCAUGAUGAGCUAACACCCUAACCCCUAGGCUACCGCCCC